GAUGAACGCUGGCGGCGCGCCUAACACAUGCAAGUCGAACGAUUAAAGCACCUUCGGGUGUGUAUAAAGUGGCGAACGGCUGAGUAACACGUGGGCAACCUGCCCCUUUCAUUGGGAUAGCCACGGGAAACCGUGGAUAAUACCGAAUACUUCGAGACUUCCGCAUGGAAGACUCGAGAAAGCUCCGGCGGAGGGGGAUGGGCCCGCGGCCUGUUAGCUUGUUGGUGGGGUAACGGCCUACCAAGGCAAUGAUGGGUAGCUGGGUUGAGAGACCGACCAGCCAGAUUGGGACUGAGACACGGCCCAGACUCCUACGGGAGGCAGCAGUGGGGAAUCUUGCACAAUGGGCGGAAGCCUGAUGCAGCGACGCCGCGUGCGGGAUGAAGGCCUUCGGGUUGUAAACCGCUUCCAGCAGGGACGAAGCGAAAGUGACGGUACCUGCAGAAGAAGCCCCGGCUAACUACGUG
rnacentral:rRNA from 1 species